rnacentral:rRNA from 1 species
UACGUAGGGGGCAAGCGUUGUCCGGAUUUAUUGGGCGUAAAGAGCGUGUAGGCGGCCUGACAAGUCUGCUGUGAAAACUCGAGGCUCAACCUCGAGAUGUCGGCGGAAACUGUCUGGCUAGAGUCCGGAAGAGGAGAGUGGAAUUCCUGGUGUAGCGGUGAAAUGCGCAGAUAUCAGGAAGAACACCCGUGGCGAAGGCGGCUCUCUGGGACGGUACUGACGCUGAGACGCGAAAGCGUGGGGAGCGAACAGG